rnacentral:rRNA from 1 species
AUUGAACGCUGGCGGCAGGCCUAACACAUGCAAGUCGGGCGAGAGGCGGACGGGUGAGUAAUGUAUGGGGAUCUGCCUGAUGGAGGGGGAUAAAUACUGGAAACGGUAGCUAAUACCGCAUACCAUCGGAUGUGCCCAGAUUGGAUUAGCUAGUAGGGGGGGUAACGGCGCACCAAGGCGACGAUCCCUAGCUGGUCUGAGAGGAUGACCAGCCACACUGGAACUGAGACACGGUCCAGACUCCUACGGGAGGCAGCAGUGGGGAAUAUUGCACAAUGGGCGCAAGCCUGAUGCAGCCAUGCCGCGUGUAUGAAGAAGGCCUUCGGGUUGUAAAGUACUUUCAGCGGGGAGGCGUUACUCGCAGAAGAAGCACCGGCUAACUCCGUGCCAGCAGCCGCGGUAAUUC